CCUACGGGUGGUAGCAGUGGGGAAUAUUGGACAAUGGGGGGAACCCUGAUCCAGCCAUGCCGCGUGUGUGAAGAAGGCCCUCGGGUUGUAAAGCACUUUCAGUGAGGAAGAACGCCUGGUGGUUAAUACCCAUCAGGAAAGACAUCACUCACAGAAGAAGCACCGGCUAACUCCGUGCCAGCAGCCGCGGUAAUACGGAGGGUGCGAGCGUUAAUCGGAAUUACUGGGCGUAAAGCGCGCGUAGGUGGCUUGAUAAGCCGGUUGUGAAAGCCCCGGGCUCAACCUGGGAACGGCAUCCGGAACUGUCAAGCUAGAGUGCAGGAGAGGAAGGUAGAAUUCCCGGUGUAGCGGUGAAAUGCGUAGAGAUCGGGAGGAAUACCAGUGGCGAAGGCGGCCUUCUGGACUGACACUGACACUGAGGUGCGAAAGCGUGGGUAGCAAACAGGAUUAGAUACCCGAGUAGUC
rnacentral:rRNA from 1 species